rnacentral:rRNA from 1 species
AUUGAACGCUGGCGGCAUGCUUUACACAUGCAAGUCGAACGGCAGCGCGGGGCAACCUGGCGGCGAGUGGCGAACGGGUGAGUAAUACAUCGGAACGUACCCAGAAGUGGGGGAUAACGUAGCGAAAGUUACGCUAAUACCGCAUACGUUCUACGGAAGAAAGUGGGGGACCUUCGGGCCUCAUGCUUUUGGAGCGGCCGAUGUCUGAUUAGCUAGUUGGUGAGGUAAAGGCUCACCAAGGCGGCGAUCAGUAGCUGGUCUGAGAGGACGACCAGCCACACUGGGACUGAGACACGGCCCAGACUCCUACGGGAGGCAGCAGUGGGGAAUUUUGGACAAUGGGCGCAAGCCUGAUCCAGCAAUGCCGCGUGAGUGAAGAAGGCCUUCGGGUUGUAAAGCUCUUUUGUCAGGGAAGAAACGGCUGAGGAUAAUACCUUCGGCUAAUGACGGUACCUGAAGAAUAAGCACCGGCUAACUACGUG